UUGAACGCUGGCGGCAGGCCUAACACAUGCAAGUCGAGCGGUAGCACAGAGAGCUUGCUCUCGGGUGACGAGCGGCGGACGGGUGAGUAAUGUCUGGGAAACUGCCUGAUGGAGGGGGAUAACUACUGGAAACGGUAGCUAAUACCGCAUAAUGUCGCAAGACCAAAGUGGGGGACCUUCGGGCCUCAUGCCAUCAGAUGUGCCCAGAUGGGAUUAGCUAGUAGGUGGGGUAACGGCUCACCUAGGCGACGAUCCCUAGCUGGUCUGAGAGGAUGACCAGCCACACUGGAACUGAGACACGGUCCAGACUCCUACGGGAGGCAGCAGUGGGGAAUAUUGCACAAUGGGCGCAAGCCUGAUGCAGCCAUGCCGCGUGUGUGAAGAAGGCCUUCGGGUUGUAAAGCACUUUCAGCGGGGAGGAAGGCGUUAAGGUUAAUAACCUUGGCGAUUGACGUUACCCGCAGAAGAAGCACCGGCUAACUCCGUGCCAGCAGCCGCGGUAAUACGGAGGGUGCAAGCGUUAAUCGGAAUUACUGGGCGUAAAGCGCACGCAGGCGGUCUGUCAAGUCGGAUGUGAAAUCCCCGGGCUCAACCUGGGAACUGCAUUCGAAACUGGCAGGCUAGAGUCUUGUAGAGGGGGGUAGAAUUCCAGGUGUAGCGGUGAAAUGCGUAGAGAUCUGGAGGAAUACCGGUGGCGAAGGCGGCCCCCUGGACAAAGACUGACGCUCAGGUGCGAAAGCGUGGGGAGCAAACAGGAUUAGAUACCCUGGUAGUCCACGCCGUAAACGAUGUCGAUUUGGAGGUUGUGCCCUUGAGGCGUGGCUUCCGGAGCUAACGCGUUAAAUCGACCGCCUGGGGAGUACGGCCGCAAGGUUAAAACUCAAAUGAAUUGACGGGGGCCCGCACAAGCGGUGGAGCAUGUGGUUUAAUUCGAUGCAACGCGAAGAACCUUACCUGGUCUUGACAUCCACAGAACUUAGCAGAGAUGCUUUGGUGCCUUCGGGAACUGUGAGACAGGUGCUGCAUGGCUGUCGUCAGCUCGUGUUGUGAAAUGUUGGGUUAAGUCCCGCAACGAGCGCAACCCUUAUCCUUUGUUGCCAGCGGUUAGGCCGGGAACUCAAAGGAGACUGCCAGUGAUAAACUGGAGGAAGGUGGGGAUGACGUCAAGUCAUCAUGGCCCUUACGACCAGGGCUACACACGUGCUACAAUGACAUAUACAAAGAGAAGCGACCUCGCGAGAGCAAGCGGACCUCAUAAAGUAUGUCGUAGUCCGGAUUGGAGUCUGCAACUCGACUCCAUGAAGUCGGAAUCGCUAGUAAUCGUAGAUCAGAAUGCUACGGUGAAUACGUUCCCGGGCCUUGUACACACCGCCCGUCACACCAUGGGAGUGGGUUGCAAAAGAAGUAGGUAGCUUAACCUUCGGGAGGGCGCUUACCACUUUGUGAUUCAUGACUGGGGUG
rnacentral:rRNA from 1 species